rnacentral:lncRNA from 14 species
ACACAAUGAUUCCUAUCUGUAUUUCACAGGAAAGUCCUGCUUUGGGAAGGCACCGGGUUUGUUGGUCUGAAAAGCAGCAGAAGUGAAGUGCUGUCCAAGAAGGGUUACAGCUCCCACUUGGUUUCUGCACUUCAAAUGAAGGAGCUCUGCAGGAGAAGCCAACUGAACAAAUGGAAAUUAAGAAAAUAUUCUCCCUGCACCUGCAGAAGAUACUACAGCUGAUCCGUAACUGGGAAUGUCAUUACUGGGAAUUUCUCCCGGUUCAGCAGUCUGGCUACCUUUAAAACUCCUGGGAUUUCACUGGGGCAGGGAAGUUGAGGAGGACUCCUGGCAGUCAGCCCUCAUCCAUGUCAGUAGCUUGGUUCGUGUCUCUGAAAUUCUUGACAAUCCAACUCUGGCUUCCCAGGAGAUGGUAGGGAAAAGGAAAGCAGCAUUUGUUAUAAGGAUGCGGUGAUACUGUCUGAGAAGGUAUCAGAAGAGGUAUGAGAUAAAGCUGGCAUAAGACUCAGGGUUCAGUGCUGCUGUGCAGGCUCACCAGGGAAGGAGCUCCACUGAGACUAGAGACAUAUCCCCCCGAGAAGAAGCAAUGUGGAGCAUCACACCACUGGUCACACAAGGAAGAGGAGUCUUAAUUGCCUGUUCCUGUGUUACAAGAGUCUUAUUGGUCUUGUCAGGGUGAUGAGCAGCUUUUCCAGGCAAAGCAGCCUUCUAGUUGUCCCCUGUGGCCGCCAGGACCCAGCCCUGCAGAAAGCCAUAGGACUUCAGCUAUACAUCAG